UACAGAGGUCUCAAGCGUUGUUCGGAUUCAUUGGGCGUAAAGGGUGCGUAGGCGGCGCGGUAAGUCGGGUGUGAAAUCUCGGAGCUUAACUCCGAAACUGCAUUCGAUACUGCCGUGCUUGAGGACUGGAGAGGAGACUGGAAUUUACGGUGUAGCGGUGAAAUGCGUAGAUAUCAGGAGGAACACCGAUGGCGAAGGCAGGUCACUGGGCCGCAACUGACGCUGAGGAGCGAAAGCAUGGGGAGCGAACAGG
rnacentral:rRNA from 1 species